CACCCCUCGAGCGGACACCACCCUUCCGUCGAGGCCCCGCCCCUCGAGCAGGCCGCGCUCCCUGGCUCAGCCUCCAGCCCGCCCACUGGGAACCAGGCAGGUUGGGACUAUCCACCCCCUUCUACAGCCAUCGUGCUGCAUUGCGUCUUCUGUGUCAAACUGUGAAGAGGACACCAUGCAAGUUCAUUAUGACACACUGCCCUGACCUGAUCUGCACCGGUCUGUGUGAUACGCUGGUGCAGCUGAAAGGGAAGAGCUGGAGAUUUACAAUGUUAAUGGGUUCAGCAGUUCCGCCAGCAGGGGGAGCUGUCGCCGGUGACCCGUGAGGAAGGCGUGGCCUGCACUUCCCGCGCUGACCACAGGGUGGCGCUGAGCCGUCUCUGACCCACGGCGCGUGCGCAUUCCCCGCGGACUCGGCUAUGAGCGCAGCUGAGAGGCCUUGUGUCUCAGGCACCGUCAGGGCCGCGGCUGGCACGCCCGGGGUCAGCGUCUCUGCCGACAGGUGCUGGGUCUCCUUAGGAUUUGCUGGGGUUUUGGCUUCAGGACAACACGGGGCCGUGUCCACGCUGACGGGAGCUGGGUUUCCUGAUGAUGCAGGCGACGCGGGGAGGAAAAGGCGUCGCCGGUGUUCGUGGUGGUGGCCACGGGUGUGUGGAGCCUGCUCUGCCCCCGUGGAGCACACUGAUGCCCAGCAUCAUAACAAAGCCGUCGAUUCUGCACUGGGGAGAAGGAUUAAAAUGCAGACAGUCUGCCUUGAAACCAUGCUUGUGCUAAGAACUCUGGAAAGUACGUGACCCUUCCAUUCCUGGUAUUUUGAUGAUCUUUUAGAGACUGCCAUCCUUGGAAAUAUCUUCCUAUAAGUUAUAUGGGAUCCCCUGCUCCAUGAAACAAAACCUACUUCGGAAGUACCCCUGCCCUGUGUCCCUGCACAGUUGUCAAGAGGCCCCGCUCCCAGCUUCCCAUCAUUCUC